rnacentral:misc_RNA from 1 species
AAAAAAAAAAAAAAAGAAGAUGCAUUUUCAAAUCCUCCAUCUAAAAAUAAGAAAAUACCCACUACUAUUCAUAUGGAACCUAAUUUAACAUUAUCCAGCACUUUUACUCAAAAUAUCCAACCACUGAACUUCAAGAAAAAAUUUGCGGAUUUUAAUAAUAUCUUUUCAAUUCAAUAAAGGGCAUGAGUUAAAUGAAAGCAGAACGAAAAUGGGUCAUCCAAUCUGGUGAGGAACUAUGUAUCUAACCUUCUAUGAAUCUAUUUGGCAUUGUUGUUAGAAUUGUUGUUGAGAAGACACCCUCAAAAAUGUUAUUAGACACCCUUAAAUUUUCAUUUUACUUUAAAUUUGACAUGUUUCAGUCAAAAGAACUUCAUAACAACGAAGACCCCUUUGGGAUUGAGGAUAUGGAGCCAAAAAAGCUCUUUUUUGGAAAAACACAGUUUUUAGAUACUAUUACAAAAAACAAUUUAGUUAUUUUGGAGUUCUUAUAACUACAACAUAUCAAUUUUAACUUUAAACUAAUUUUUAAU